rnacentral:rRNA from 1 species
AUUGAACGCUGGCGGCAGGCCUAACACAUGCAAGUCGAACGAGUGGCGGACGGGUGAGUAAUGUCUGGGAAACUGCCUGAUGGAGGGGGAUAACUACUGGAAACGGUAGCUAAUACCGCAUACCAUCAGAUGUGCCCAUAUGGGAUUAGCUUGUGGGUGGGGGAACGGCUCACCAAGGCGACGAUCCCUAGCUGGUCUGAGAGGAUGAACAGCCACACUGGAACUGAGACACGGCCCAGAUUCCUACGGGAGGCAGCAGUGGGGAAUAUUGCACAAUGGGCGCAAGCCUGAUGCAGCCAUGCCGCGUGUAUGAAGAAGGCCUUCGGGUUGUAAAGUACUUUCAGCGGGGAGGCGUUACCCGCAGAAGAAGCACCGGCUAACUCCGUGCCAGCAGCCGCGGUAAUAC